rnacentral:rRNA from 1 species
UACAGAGGUCUCGAGCGUUGUUCGGAUUCAUUGGGCGUAAAGGGUGCGUAGGCGGUCGGGUAAGUCUGAUGUGAAAAUCUCACAGCUUAACUGUGAAACUGCAUUGGAUACUAUUCGGCUUGAGAGUUGGAGGGGGGGACUGGAAUUCUUGGUGUAGCAGUGAAAAUGCGUAGAUAUCAAGAGGAACACCAGUGGCGAAGGCGAGUCCCUGGACAACUUCUGACGCUGAGGCACGAAAGCGUGGGGAGCAAAAGGG